GAUGAACGCUGGCGGCGUGCCUAAUACAUGCAAGUAGAACGCUGAAGCUUGGUGCUUGCACCGAGCGGAUGAGUUGCGAACGGGUGAGUAACGCGUAGGUAACCUGCCUCUUAGCGGGGGAUAACUAUUGGAAACGAUAGCUAAUACCGCAUAAAAGUCGAUAUCGCAUGAUAUUGAUUUGAAAGGUGCAAAUGCAUCACUAAGAGAUGGACCUGCGUUGUAUUAGCUAGUUGGUGAGGUAACGGCUCACCAAGGCGACGAUACAUAGCCGGACUGAGAGGGUGGAGCGGCACAAUGGGACUGAGACACGGCCCAGGCUCCGACGGGAGGGAGCAGUAGGGAAGCUUCGGCAAAGGGGGGAACCCUGGCCGAGGAACGCCGCGUGGGUGGAGAAGGGUUUCGGAUCGUAAAGCUCUGUUGUAGGAGAAGAACGAGUGUGAGGGUGGAAAGUUCACACUGUGACGGUAACUUACCAGAAAGCGACGGCUAACUACGUG
rnacentral:rRNA from 1 species